CUCAACAUCAGCAUCCGCCCACCCCAACACCAAACAAACCGGCCCAAUACCCUUUAUAACUCCUCUUCAACAUCACAACAACAAUAUCAACAACAACAAACAAUAUCAACAACAUCAACAACAACAAUAUCAACAACAACAAACAAUAUCAACAACAUCAACAACAACAUACCAAUAUGAAAACAUCAACUCAAUGCAAAAAUCUCCACCAAGAACCACCCAACAACGUCGUUGUCAAAUACUUUAUCACCGUAUGACUAGCGCAUACUAAAAACAAGAGCUUUUAUUUUGAUGGUUCUAGAAUUUGUGACGUGGUUCCAUUUAACCCGUCAUCUCGUUCUUCUCUCGAAUAAGUUUGAAUUCGUACCACUUCUGCCAAGAUCGAACCUUAUCCCUAGAUAAAUUCAAAUUUCCUCUAGAAAAUCCCCCAAAACCCCUUCCAAAUUUGUAUACCACAUUUCCCAAACAACAAAUGUCUCAUUCCAAAACCCUCCUAUAAAUACACCACUAUUCCAUUGAGAACCUAAUUAAAAGAGAUUUUGCUAAAAAAUGAAGAAUUCUUGUGUUGAGUCCUUGUAAGACCAUUAGGCUGGCUAAAGAAUCUGGUUCAAAUUCCCCAAUGGUAUAAAAGUGGUAGAAAAUUUUUGACAAAGAGCUCGUUGUCCGAUUUGCUACUCCAAAAAAGGAUCUGAGGCUCAGUCUCGGGGUCCCACUAAGCAGUAGAUCAGUCUUGGCCGAAGUUUUAAGUUGGUGAGCCUCCCUUGUUUCUGAAGGCCUUGUUUCAUGCUAUAUUAUCAUUUGGUUUUAGUUCUUGGUCCGACUGAGGGCCUUGUCCCGAUUUCAUACAGAUCUAUUUUUGUAUUGUUAGAGAUUUCGUAGAAUAGUCUUAGCUGUUCUUGGAAUAUUGUGAACUUAUAUUCAUAUUAUUCAGUUGAUGUAAGAGAAUGACCAUGUUUCUGUUUUGCUA